ACGCUCGACACCUACAGGAGGCAGCAGUGGGGAAUAUUGCACAAUGGGGGAAACCCUGAUGCAGCGACGCCGCGUGACUGAAGAAGUAUUUCGGUAUGUAAAGGUCUAUCAGCAGGGAAGAAAGAAGACGGUACCUGACUAAGAAGCCCCGGCUAACUACGUGCCAGCAGCCGCGGUAAUCUGAGCGGGCUGGCAAGGC
rnacentral:rRNA from 1 species